rnacentral:piRNA from 1 species
UGGGCUCACACUUCCAUUUGUGUCUAUCAU